rnacentral:lncRNA from 1 species
GGAGUUCUCACGGCUGUCAAUCCCAAUUUGCCAUCGUGGCUGCACGUUGGAGCACACCACCACCACAACUGUUGGAUUCAGCGAGACAUAAUGUUUCUAUCACAACCCUCUCGAUCACCGUCGCACGAAUUCGAGUCACCAUUGGUUAGCGAGGACAUUUUGGAAUUUUUUUAAAAUUUGAGGGUGAUUUCAUAAUUUCUGAUUUUGUGGAUAUUUUGGUAAUUUCUGGAUUGGAGGAUAAGAAUUUGAUGAUAAUUCUAUAAAUUAUGAUUUUAAGGAUAAUUCGAUGG